rnacentral:rRNA from 1 species
UACGUUCCCGGACCUUGUACACACCGCCCCGUCAAGCCAUGGGAGCUUGGGGUGCCUGAAGACGGUGACUUUACGGGGAGCUGUCUAAGGUAAAACAGGUGACUGGGGCU